AAAAAGACUUUCCGUGUCCAACGUUUCACCGUCCGUCUUAUAUGAAUUUUUUUAUUAAUAUUUUUAUUAUUAUUAAAUGAUAAAACAUGAAUAAUACUUUAUGCAUAACUUAUCUUUUUAAAAUUUUUCAUAAUUUUUUAAAAUUAAAUGGACGGUCAAACGUUAGACACGGAAAUCCAGCGAUUGAGUUUUC
rfam:Oryza nivara chromosome 11, whole genome shotgun sequence.